rnacentral:misc_RNA from 1 species
UUUGAACUCUGUUAUGCAUAAGCAUAGAACGGAUCAGUCAAGGACUAUUUGAAGGCUAUAGGUUCUGCUCCUUGAAGUGCUGUUUUAUUCAUUUAUUUUAUUUUUUGGUACAUCAGAAAUUCUUAAGGGAAGUGCAUAUAUUAUUACUUUGGCAUAUGUUUUUCUGUGCUUUAAAAAAAAUUCUUACAAUGCUUUUCUUAUAUCUGAUUUUCUGGAACGGGAAGAGUUAGGAUUGGUGUCGUCUUGUUUGCUCUGAAUUUCAUGUUUGCCAUCCUUUUGUUG